UCUUAGUGUUGCACUGCAGUUCACUAGUUGCUGCAUCCAAUGUUCAGGUUAUGGCAUUAAAAGUAGUACAGCAUGUAUCUUUAGUUACUCAGGGCAGCACAGCAAUUAACUCAGAAUGGAUUAAUGUUGUCUCAGAGAUCCUUCUGCUUUUGUUUUAAAAAGCUUUUAUGUGCUUUAAAACCUUUCAAGUGAAGUUCUUGCAAGAUUUUCCAUCAUUUGUUUCUAUCUCAGGUAUCUUUUAUCUAUUGGGAUCUGAUGGAAAUCUAAUCAAUUAGAAUCCAAACAACAUAUCUGAAAGUCUCUUGCAAAAUGAUGCUUAUGAUGCUGCAUUUAGUGGUAUCUUCAAGUUUGUUUUCUGUUGUAUAAAUAGAAAUAUAAGGCAUGUUGAAUCCACCAUCAUUCAUUUUCUCGCCUUUAUUAUCAUCUUAUGCUUUAGACGUGGUCAGCACCUUAUCAGGAAAGUGUGUGCAUGUGGAGGAAUGUCGUUGUCUCCAGAACUGUUACCUUACUUUGCCAGAAGCUGUUAAACCACAGGAAGGCAUUUGGGUGUGUAGGUCAGGGAGUGAGGAAUUAGCGGGUCCCAAGGGAAAGUAUGCAAGUGUCUUGUAAAAAGAAAAUCGAGUUUCAACAAAGACCUCAUCAAGUUUACUGCACUGUUGGCUAGAAAGUACUGUCUGAGGAAAGUUAGUCUAAGAAAGAUUGGAGCAGUUGUAUCCUAAUUAGCAUACUGCUUUAGGCAUGGGGCCCUAUAAGAUUCUUAUUGUAUGAUAGCAUUGAUUUUCAUACAAGAUGAAAAAUGUACAUGAUCGACUUGCUUUCAUAUAUUAGCAUAUUGAAAUAUAGGUUACAAUUAUGUUAUCUUAUACAUUUUUGUAAAUGACCUUUUGAUCGUAGACUUGGACGUCUUUAUGCUUCAUUAAAAUUACUGUUUUUUGUUAAACAUGUUUGUUGGGCAUUAUAUCACAUAUUUUUGCUUUUCUACUCUUAAUAGAGUAAAAUUAAUAGAGUAAAAAUGUAUAAUUAAUAGAGUAAGUAAUUUGACUAACUUGGUUAGUCAAGUUAUUUACUUAGGUAGAGCCUGUAGUCAGCUACUUAUGACAUUCUUCCAGCUUCCUAACUGUAGUUUUAAAUCAAUGUUACCUUAAGAAAAGUGAUGGUUGUCAAUAUUGAUAUCAGGUUAUUUAUCAUGCAGUUUUAAGAUUUUGCAAGUUAGACCAAAUUGAAGCAAACUCUGAAACAAUUAACUUCUAUUUGAAACAAUAAAACAAGAAGGAGAAAUGAGAAGAAUUAAAAUGAAACUGACGUAAAUUUAGAAUUCCAGUUUAAAGGACAAAGAAAACACAACAUAGUUGCUUAAGGUUGUCAAACUCCAGUAGUAAUCGUGUUCCUUUGAAUUAAGCUGAAAGGCUAUUAAUGAGCCUUUCUGGUAUGGCCUUGAUCCUCAGUUUAGACUAAUAGUUUAUGCUGCUUGAUGAGCUAGUUGGGGAUUCUGUGGUAUUCUUUUAGCUUCUGGCUGCUGAACCAGUUGGUAACAAUUUUCUCCUUUCCUGACAACUUGAGAAACAGACCUCAAAAGGCAGUAAGUAUUUAGAUUCUAGAUUUAAUGAAUCUAGUUGCAUGUCUGAAUGGAGUGGGUGUGCAUGGUCUGCAGUGAGUACAAGAGAGCAGUGCAGCAACAGACAAGGUCAGGUGACAAAAACGGUUGGUCCAUCUGUUGUCAAAACUCAAAGGAGCAGUGACAAGGUUUGUAGCACUGAAUAGACUAAGUGUAGGAGGAAAAGGACUAUGCUCUGUUUCUGUCCUCUGGGAGACUAUUACAGCAAAGACAUUCAGUUACAGACCUAUAAGCAGCAGUGUGAGAAGUCUUUGAUAAAAAUCCCAACUGUGAAUUAAAAGGCAUUUGCCCUAAUUUAAUUUAAACACAAUAAAGUAGAUGUUAGAAAGCAAGACUUGCAGGUGUUUGUCAUUUGCUGACUUCUCACAGCAUGUAAAUUGAAGUUUAUAUGGCCUAUAUAAAAAGUUUGAAGGCAGUUUUAAAAUGCACCAUGUGUAUAAUCCUUGAGUUCUAGUUUAAUAUAAUAUAGAAUCAAGGAUAUUAUUAUAAGUGAUGGAUUGAGGAUGCUCUUGCAUUUAAAUCUUGUCCGAUAUCUGCUAAUAUUGCUUUGUGGGUGAUAUUUACACAUAUACAUUUUCCUUCCCUUUCAGCGUGGUAAAAAAAUUGCAACUCUGCUGACAUUGCUUCUCUGUUUCAAUUAAAAACCCAACAAUACUUGAGUUUUUAAUUACUAUCACUGUCACAUGACCAAACAGUUAACCCACUCCUCUCCUCCCUCCGUAACACAAACGGCAACAGGAUGGAAAUAAACAUUGGUUAUCGGGCCAGUUUUGUGAUACUGAUUUUAAUGCCGAUAUAUUGUGCAUGUCCCAACCAAUCAAUCAGUGAUUAGAACCUGCCAAGCAUCGUGUCCCAUGAUAAAUUAAUGCAUCAAAAUUUUAUCUUCCCACCAUUUCAGUCUGUAAACACAUCAACAACGAGAAUAUGCUUCAAUGCAUUUUUAGUUGUUAGUUGUAUUUUUUUAUUUUAUUUUCUUUAAUUAAAAGUAGCUUUUUUUUAAUCACCUAACUGUCACCCCCAAAACUCAAGAGAACACCCUUGUCCUCAUGACAGUUAUAGCUUUGUUUUUGGUCAAAUUUUAAUUCUGUCGCUUUUGAAUUAGUUUUGUAAAAUGCAACUCAAGCCAUCUUAGAAAUGUUCCAUUGCAAGUGAAGGUAGCAAUAUAAUGACACAAGAAAAACUGAUGCGUCUCAGUCUUUAUUUGUUUCUCAUUCCCUUCCACUAUCACAACAUAAACAGCACAACUGGUUUUAAACUGAAACUCUAAACACACAAUCAAAUUCUUGUGGGC